CCCUACUCGACGCGUCCGCCGCCGCUGCCGCCGCACCUGAGCUUCGUGCAGUACACGCCCGGCGGCAGCUUCCUGUCGCCAGCCACCUUCCAGUCGCCGGAGCUGAGCUACCUGAACCCGGCGUUCGCGGCCUACCAGACGGUGCAGUACGGCGGGCCGCUGUGCGGCGGGCCGCCGCCGCGCGCGCCGCCGCCGCCCUGCCGGCCGCGCUGCGACUCGUGCUACAACUGCGGCCGCGAGGGCCACCCGGGUCGCCUCUGCACGGCAGAGAGCGUCGGCAACGAUACUAGUCCGCACAACCAGUUCAAACUGAGCUUCGUUUCUUCCAUAUCGGAGAACUGACGGGCAGCGUGCGCGGGCGCGGGCUGCGCACGGCUCGCGGGCCCCGGCUCGCCGCACCUCCAGGGAGCAGGCUAUGUUUGGUGUCCACCUGUCUUGUGCCUUUAGAUUGCCUAAGUUUAUUAUCUGGCUUCCGCUGCUUGCUGCCGUCGGCGGCAGCCGGCCGCCGAUCGUCGGCAGUCGCAAGCCACGGCGUCGCCCGGGCCCCAGCGCCUGCGGCGUGUGCCAGGGCCUAGUGCCCAUCCAGUGCAAAACCAUUGUGAUUGUAUGUGUGAUCCAUACGUUAUAUCAUGUGUAUUCGGUAGAUGUCGUUAGGCACGAGAGCGCGCGCUCGUUUUUUGUAGUGUGUGUGCGUGUGUAUGCGUUCCGUCGGCGCGUGUAGGGUGGGCGGGCGGCGGGGGCGUGAUGACGUGCGCCGGGUCGCGGGGCGCCCGCCGUGUGAUUGGUCCGAUCUGGUGUCGGCUCAGGGGCCGCCAGGCGCGCGGGGCUGCUCCGGUCGCGCUGCUGGCCCGGCAACACCCCUGCCCCGAUCCGGCGGGCGGAGGCCGGGGCCCGGCCGCCAGAACCAAAUGUGCAUUUAAUUUAUCCGUCGGCGGGCUACUGCAUUUGGGCAAACGCGGAGGCAGUGGCCGUACAACCAGACGCGCGGUCCACACCGGAAACACGCGUCAGUCUCCUGGGCGCACACUUGUGCGCCUCACACAUGUGAACCCCCCCCCCCCCCCCUACACACACAUCACACAACGCCGGAUGCGCUCAGAGGUGUGAGACUGCACACCAGCGAAACGGCCUCGUAGUUGCAGGUCGCCUGGUUCUUGCCCCGUUUCUGGUUCGGCAUUCGGUGACCUAGAUCACAGACAGGCGAGCACAGUCCCCUGCCACGCCCGCGCUCCGACAGCCACACGCCGACGCAGGCGGUGGCUCGGCGGGCGCGUGAGGCAGGCCGGCCAGGGCGGGCUCGGGACAUCUGGCCCAGCCGGCCGUGAGCCAGCUCGGCUGGACUCGGGACACCCCACACAGGCUGGUCGGCCCAGCUCCGGACACCUGGCACAAGCGGGACAGCAGGAUCGCGCGUCGCCUGCCCAGCCGUGUGAUGUGUUUUCUAAGCCUGUUUUGUACACCAGCGAACAAGGUUUUAGCGUUGCGGUGACGCGUAGAAUCAAGUGUUGUCCUGCCUUCGGCGGCGCGGCGCCGGCUUCGCGUGCCACCUGCUCGGCCAUCGGGUGCGGCCAGGGGUGUAGCGACAGUUCGUGUAAUACGGUGUAUUCGUCAUUUAAUGAUGUUGGUAGGAGGGCCAUCUAGCCGGUUCGGCGUUUCGUGUAGGCUAUACCAGUAAGGCGAGCGUAACUGCAAAACUCGAGUAAAUUUUUUGGUAUAAACUUCAUUUAAUAUCACCGUGUGUUAUUGUAAACCGGUUUCAAAAUGAUGUUUAGAAAAGCGGUUAAUAAAAAGGAUAAAAACA
rnacentral:lncRNA from 1 species